GCCUGAGGGGACAUAAAGAGGAAGCUCCUGAGGAAAGAGUUUUCUUAGGGGAGCUGGUUAGUGAGAAAAGGUGCUCUUGGAGGGAGCAGGCCCCAAAAUGGCUUGGAGUGGCAAAAGGAUUUUAUCAGACAGAGCAAGAAGUCCAGGUUGUUGGAGAAUUAAUCAGUGCUGCAGAGAAGAACUGCAGUGGUUUGAUGUCUGCAGGAUCCCUGACUCCCAAAAAGGAGCCCUUCUUCAGGUGAUGGCAGGAGGCCUGUCUCCAGAAGGGGGUAUUGGGUUGAGAGGGCCUUACUGGUGAGAAUCUGGACAAAGGUGACUGAUGGACUCAAGUUGGAUACUGGAGUCUGCAGAGCUACCAGGCAGCUGACAUCUCCAGGCUGCCCCCGCAGCAGCUAUAACCAACCUGCACUCCGUUGCCUGCGACCUGCUGCCGACACCGACCAUUUGAAGGUUUUGCCUUAAGGAUUUGCCAGGCAGCAGCCUGAUGGCUCCUGAUUGGCUCCCUGCCCUAUAUAAACCCAAGAGGCAAUCCAGGAAGUGUCCAGGCAACAGAGUGGCUCUUCAGUAGCUGCCCUUGUUGGGAUCCUGACAGUUUGACGCUUUAAACUUACCCACAUUUGUGCUAUGCUAUUACGGUGAAAAGGAGACUGUGGGCCAGAAAAGAGAAGAUGCUGGAAUUGUUUCAUUGACCAGAAUGAUGGCAACUCUUUCGGACAGUGGAAAGUUGAAUCCAGCCUUCUGAUGAUGUUGUUACUAAUGUUUAUAUUGCAGUAGUGCCCAAACGCCCUGGAUCAGGCCGACAGAUUAUGACACAAUGCUUAUGUGAGGGAAGCACCUGUCUGGUCUAAAAUAUUUUGCUGUUGGCAAUGUUUGGAAGGUGAUGGGGACUAAUCUAAUCAUCAUGGCCAACAAGCUCCUUACAUGGCAAUGGAUUAUUAAUUAUUUAAGUUCCUGAACUACAUUUAUUUAAAUAUAUUCAGACUAAUUAAGCACCAACGGACUAAAAGUCCUACUAAGUUUUAGAAUGAGAGCAUGGUUUUAUAUAACACAUCACCAGGAGACAUAGAUCAGGAGACAUUCCUGGCUCUGACAGUGACUUCUUCUGUGACAAGUUGGGCAAGUCACUUCAGGCCAAAUUUCAAAAGUAGCCUCUAGUUCAGGUGGCUCAGGAUUUUAGGUAUCAUCAUCCACACUUGGUAGGGGUAAGGCCUGAUCUGAUGUGCUGAGGUGCUUCUAACUCCAAAUGAAAGUCAGAGGUUCAGCACCUUUGAAAAUCAAACCUGAGUUGUCUCCAAUGAGGAUGCUAUGUCCCGUAGCUGCUUUGUCUGUAGAAUGGGGAUACUUAGCUUUUUCACAGACAUGUUGUGAGGUUGAGUUCAUUAAAGUUUUCCAAACACCCUAAAAUCCUUGGGUUGAAGGUGCUAUAGGAAUGCAAAAUACUAUCAUUCUGGGGGCUCCAAGCCAUGGUAAAUGGAAACAGUUAUUUGCAUUACAAUUACUGCAGUCAGAAGUGAAAACUCUCAGCAGUGUGCAAAGCUAUUUUAUAAUGCUGAUGCAAAAUUGGUGAGAGUCAAUCCUAUAAUUUAAAUGGGUAUUUCAAGGACUUUUGGCAUUUAAUAUUUUUCUUGAACACUCCCCAAAUUCUGUAAUAACAACUUGGAAACUUUAAUACAUUUUCUUUCCCUAUCAUUUAGUCUUGCUACAUUUGGCAUUUUGCCAUAUUUCCAAUGUGCAUAAUCCAUCUACCUAUCUACGUAUUUCUAUGGCCCUCAUCACCACAGUGUUUGAGCACCUCACAGUCACUGGUAGAUUUUAUCCUGGCAAAAGCAUGUCAGGUAAAGAAAUGUUCUCCUCAUUUUACACAUAAGGAACAGAGUCCCUUAAGUGACUAGCCCAAGCCCACACAGAGAAUGUAUGUUAGAGCCAAGAACUGAAUCUAGGUCUCCCAAGUUCCAGGUUCGGUGACCUAACCACUACGUCAUGCUUUCUCCCAAUAAGCCAAUCAACAUCUGUUUCGCUUACAUUUUCAAUACUGUAAGUUCUUUGGGACAGAUAUGCUGUCCUUCUUUGUGUUUGUAAAGUACCGAGCCACUCUGAGUGUUAUUACACUCUAAAUAAGCUGCCCUGGGUCUCGUUGAUUUCAAUGGGGAUUAGUGUCAGGAUAUGCUUGUGCAGAUACAAUUGUAGGUUUGGGACCAUAGGCCAGAUUAUCACUUAUACUGGGGCAACUUUACACUGCUAAGGAGUUGUAAUGAGGCCUUAACAUACAUUUUUACCCACUUUAAUGUGCUUUUACAUUGCCAGAGUUAUGUAAAGGGGCCUUAGUGUAAAAGAGAAUAAGACCAGCCUUAAGACUGCAAGCUCUUUGGGGCAGGGACUCUCAUUUCUGUUAUGACUGUACAGUGCCUAGCACAAUGGGGCCCUGACUGAGUGUGGCUUCUAAGAGCUACUGUCAUUCAAAAAUAAUUUAAAAUGCUAUGAACAAGAGUAGAUGGUUUUUUUCCUUGUUCGUGGCAAAGUAUAUUCCACUUGUCAUCAUUAAACACUAAGCAACCUAACAUGAAAAUACAACAGCUUUUUGAGAUAGCAACUGACCAUCAGAAAGCCAUCAUAUUUAGCAUUUGCCCAGACUGUAAAUAGCUUUAACACAACUAUUUGGCUUUCACCUAAAAUGUUAAAAUGACUCGAGAAAGGGCAGACAGUGUUAUAACUAAGAGAUACACGUCCUGUGUAUCUUCUAAGAAAGCUUCAUUAUUUCCAAGCACUAUUUCAAGCUGUGUUCUUUCUAAUAUUAGAAAUGCACUGAAAAGAUGGAUACAAAUUGGCCAGACUCUUCUCCAGGAUUAUGCAUGUUGGCUGAUCUUUGAUCCCCAGUGGCAGUUAGCAACAACAGCCUUCGGAAGUGCUUUUUUAAUUUUUUCCCCAUGAGGGCUAGGUUAAUAGGGAAGACUUCUCCAGGAGGCUUGCCGGUCAGCCUGGAGAGUGUUUUGCUCGGAAUAGUUAGCCUGCUGUGCCCACUCUAAAAAGAAUUUGAGCAUAUGGUAUAUGUGCUUACAUUUACAAAGAUGCAGCAUAGAUUCACAUCCUAGUUUGAGUUGAAAAUGCUCUGUAUGUGAUGCUCCAACAAUAUAAGAACAUACUUGCACUAGAGAUUGGUCUGAGCUGUGAUAUUCUGUUUCAGCUACACUCUUUCUCAAAUUACCAAAUCUGAUGAUUAUCAUAGUUACCAUCCCUGUGAAAAUGGUAGAGCUGCAGGGUUUACAGUUUCAGCAGGUGCAAGAGGCCUAGAUGUGAAGGAAAGAGCAUGGAACAAUGUCAGAGGUUAGAGAAGGUUAGAGGAGACUUAGAAAAGAGCCUGGAUCAGAGGCAGAAGCAGAGCAGUUUUUCAGAUUAGUGGGUGAGAAAGAAAUGAGCUGCAGUUAGAGAGCUUAAUAAAAGAGGAGAGAUACUGACACCCCACUCAUCCCCCCCCCAGAAUACUAUUAAAAAAAAGUCCUUAGGUUUCAAUGAAUCCUGAAAUCUUGUUUUUAUGGCCUUAAAUCAAAUCCAACCUAACCAUUCAAAUAUAACUAA